GUGCUCGCUUCAGCAGCACAUAUAGUAAAAUUGGAACGAUACAGAGAAGAUUAGUAUGGCCCUGCACAAGGAUGACACGCAAAUUCGUGAAGCAUUCCAUAUUUUU
ensembl:snRNA LOC120100142 U6 spliceosomal RNA